GGGGAAUUGUUCGCAAUGGGCGCAAGCCUGACGACGCAACGCCGCGUGGAGGAUGAAGGUCUUCGGAUUGUAAACUCCUGUUGAUCGGGACGAACAACCAUCGGGAUAACACCCCGGAGGUCUGACGGUACCGAAUGAGGAAGCCCCGGCUAACUCUGUGCCAGCAGCCGCGGUAAUACAGAGGGGGCAAGCGUUGUUCGGAAUUACUGGGCGUAAAGGGCGCGUAGGCGGCUAGGUAAGUCAAAGGUGAAAUCCCUCGGCUCAACUGAGGAACUGCCUUUGAAACUGCCUAGCUUGAGGCCGGGAGGGGGUGGCGGAAUUCCCAGUGUAGCGGUGAAAUGCGUAGAUAUUGGGAGGAACACCAGUGGCGAAGGCGGCCACCUGGACCGGUUCUGACGCUGAUGCGCGAAAGCGUGGGUAGCAAA
rnacentral:rRNA from 1 species